GACGAACGCUGGCGGCGUGCCUAAUACAUGCAAGUCGAACGCUUCUUUCCUCCCGAGUGCUUGCCCUCAAUUGGAAAGAGGAGUGGCGGACGGGUGAGUAACACGUGGGUAACCUACCCAUCAGAGGGGGAUAACACUUGGAAACAGGUGCUAAUACCGCAUAACAGUUUAUGCCGCAUGGCAUAAGAGUGAAAGGCGCUUUCGGGUGUCGCUGAUGGAUGGACCCGCGGUGCAUUAGCUAGUUGGUGAGGUAACGGCUCACCAAGGCCACGAUGCAUAGCCGACCUGAGAGGGUGAUCGGCCACACUGGGACUGAGACACGGCCCAGACUCCUACGGGAGGCAGCAGUAGGGAAUCUUCGGCAAUGGACGAAAGUCUGACCGAGCAACGCCGCGUGAGUGAAGAAGGUGUUCGGAUCGUAAAACUCUGUUGUUAGAGAAGAACAAGGACGUUAGUAACUGAACGUCCCCUGACGGUAUCUAACCAGAAAGACACGGCUAACUACGUG
rnacentral:rRNA from 1 species